AACGUAGGUUCCGAGCGUUAUCCGGAUUUACUGGGCGUAAAGCGCGUUCAGGCGGUUCGGCAAGUCGGGCAUGAAAUCUCUCGGCUCAACCGGGAGAGGUUGUCCGAUACUGCUGGACUUGAGGGCAGUAGAGGGUGGUGGAAUUCCGGGUGUAGUGGUGAAAUGCGUAGAUAUCUGGAGGAAUACCGGUGGCGAAGGCGGCAUCCUGGACCAAUACUGACGCUGAGGCGCGAAAGCUAGGGGAGCAAACGGG
rnacentral:rRNA from 1 species